rnacentral:rRNA from 1 species
CGAACGGGUGAGUAACACGUGGAUAACCUACCUAUAAGACUGGGAUAACUUCGGGAAACCGGAGCUAAUACCGGAUAAUAUAUUGAACCGCAUGGUUCAAUAGUGAAAGACGGUUUUGCUGUCACUUAUAGAUGGAUCCGCGCCGCAUUAGCUAGUUGGUAAGGUAACGGCCUACCAAGGCGACGAUGCGUAGCCGACCUGAGAGGGUGAUCGGCCACACUGGAACUGAGACACGGUCCAG